rnacentral:rRNA from 1 species
GCCGAAAGGCGUAGUCGAUGGGAAACGGGUUAAUAUUCCCGUACUUGGUGUUACUGCGAAGGGGGGACGGAGAAGGCUAUGUUGGCCGGGCGACGGUUGUCCCGGUUUAAGCGUGUAGGUGUGUGUUCCAGGUAAAUCCGGUUCACUUUAACACUGAGGCGUGACGACGAGGCACUACGGUGCUGAAGCAACAAAUGCCCUGCUUCCAGGAAAAGCCUCUAAGCAUCAGGUAACAUCAAAUCGUACCCCAAACCGACACAGGUGGUCAGGUAGAGAAUACCAAGGCGCUUGAGAGAACUCGGGUGAAGGAACUAGGCAAAAUGGUGCCGUAACUUCGGGAGAAGGCACGCUGACACGUAGGUGAAGUGAUUUACUCAUGGAGCUGAAGUCAGUCGAAGAUACCAGCUGGCUGCAACUGUUUAUUAAAAACACAGCACUGUGCAAACACGAAAGUGGACGUAUACGGUGUGACGCCUGCCCGGUGCCGGAAGGUUAAUUGAUGGGGUCAGCGCAAGCGAAGCUCCUGAUCGAAGCCCCGGUAAACGGCGGCCGUAACUAUAACGGUCCUAAGGUAGCGAAAUUCCUUGUCGGGUAAGUUCCGACCUGCACGAAUGGCGUAAUGAUGGCCAGGCUGUCUCCACCCGAGACUCAGUGAAAUUGAACUCGCUGUGAAGAUGCAGUGUACCCGCGGCAAGACGGAAAGACCCCGUGAACCUUUACUAUAGCUUGACACUGAACAUUGAGCCUUGAUGUGUAGGAUAGGUGGGAGGCUUUGAAGUGUGGACGCCAGUCUGCAUGGAGCCGACCUUGAAAUACCACCCUUUAAUGUUUGAUGUUCUAACGUGGACCCGUUACCCGGGUUGCGGACAGUGUCUGGUGGGUAGUUUGACUGGGGCGGUCUCCUCCUAAAGAGUAACGGAGGAGCACGAAGGUUGGCUAAUCCUGGUCGGACAUCAGGAGGUUAGUGCAAUGGCAUAAGCCAGCUUGACUGCGAGCGUGACGGCGCGAGCAGGUGCGAAAGCAGGUCAUAGUGAUCCGGUGGUUCUGAAUGGAAGGGCCAUCGCUCAACGGAUAAAAGGUACUCCGGGGAUAACAGGCUGAUACCGCCCAAGAGUUCAUAUCGACGGCGGUGUUUGGCACCUCGAUGUCGGCUCAUCACAUCCUGGGGCUGAAGUAGGUCCCAAGGGUAUGGCUGUUCGCCAUUUAAAGUGGUACGCGAGCUGGGUUUAGAACGUCGUGAGACAGUUCGGUCCCUAUCUGCCGUGGGCGCUGGAGAACUGAGGGGGGCUGCUCCUAGUACGAGAGGACCGGAGUGGACGCAUCACUGGUGUUCGGGUUGUCAUGCCAAUGGCACUGCCCGGUAGCUAAAUGCGGAAGAGAUAAGUGCUGAAAGCAUCUAAGCACGAAACUUGCCCCGA